GGUGCUCACAUCCACCCAUGUUCCAAGAAUGCUCACACCAUCACCCAUCUUGGGAUGCUCACAGUGUCUCCACGAUCUUGGGGUGCUCACACAGUCCCCAUGUGCCCAGGAUGUUCACACCAUCCCCAUGACCUUGGGGUACUCACACCAUCCCCAUGUUCUUGGGGUGGUCAGAUCACCCCCAUGUCCCCAGAAUGCUCACACCAUCACCCAUCUUGGGGUGUUCACAUCAUCCCCAUGAUCUUGGGGUGCUCACACCAUCCUCAUGUCCCCAGAAUGCUCACACCAUCCCCCAUCUUGGGGUGUUCACACAGUCCCCACGUCCCCAGGAUGUUCACACCAUCCCCAUGUUCUUGGGGUGCUCACAUCCACCCAUGUUCCAAGAAUGCUCACACCAUCACCCAUCUUGGGCUGCUCAUAUCAUCCCCAUAAUCUUGGGGUGCUCACAUCCCCCCAUGUCCCCAGAAUGCUCACACCAUCCCCCAUCUUGGGGUGCUCACACCAUCCCCCAUCUUGGGGUGCUCACACAGUCACCAAGUCCCCAGAAUGUUCACACCAUCCUCAUGUUCUUGGGUUGCUCCCCCAUGUUCCUGGGGUGCUCACACAGUCCCCAUGUCCCCAGACUGUUCACACCAUCCCCCAUCUUGGGGUGUUCACAUCAUCCCCAUGUUCUUGGGGUGGUCAGAUCACCCCCAUGUC
rnacentral:lncRNA from 1 species